UUUUUUUUUUCGUUUUUUGAGAUGAUAAUAUAUUUAUUUACUCAUAAAAAGGAAUCCAGUAGGCUAUAAAUGAGUGUAUGUAAAAUUGAAUCUUGUCAAAAAAAGUCGAAAAGCAGUAUAAGUGUGAAGUCAUCAGAAAUUAACAAUGCUGAGCAGUCGACCGCAAGGCUGGUGGAAGCAGGUGGCAAUUCAACACCAAAUGCCACUCCUAGAAGAUCUCCAUGCCCUCGGAGACCAAGGAGAAACAUUGCAUUAGCCAAACUGCUAGAAGCGUGGAAGAUUUUCAACUAUCACUGGAUGAAGAUAACCAACGAUCCGUUUCAUUGCCAGCUAUUGAAAAGUAUCACAUUUUUUGUUAUUGGCUUGAAAUUAUUUGACGAUAUUAAAAGGCACAGUUCGAUUAAUACAUGAUGAUAGCAAUUUUUUAA